GGGGGGGUGGGAUGAUGUAAUUUUAUCAGUCAUGCCCUGGGACUCAGUGGCCAUUAACAGGAGAUAUCUCCUGGAGGGAGGAUGGGCUGUGGGAAGAUAAAGAUGGUUGCCCCAGCUGGUUUAAAGCUGGCCCAUUAGCAGAUAAUAUGUGCCAGGAGAUCAGGGUCACUGCCCCACCCGGCUGCAGCAGGUGGGGACAGAAUCCACAUUUCUGGUCACAUCCUGUAUUGCAGCCCAAGACACCGUGGAAGUCAGAAAUCUGGAAUUUCUCACUGGCUCCAAGCAAAGCAGAACAGGAAAAAAAGCUCCAGGUGCAAGGGGGAGAGUUUGGAGGUGUCCUGUGGGUCACCCUGCCCGGGGACAUCACCCUGGGCCCUGUGAAAUCCCAGAGGGACACAGAGCCAUGGAAUUCCAGAAUGCUUUGGUGCUUUGGGUUGGAAGGGAACUUAAACCCCACCCUGUGCCACCCCCAGGGACACCUCCCACUGCCCCAGGCUGCUCCCAGUGUCCAGCCUGGCCUUGGGCACUGCCAGGGAUCCAGGGGCAGCCCCACACUGCCAGGGAUCCAGGGGCAGCCACAGCUGCUCUGGCAAUUCCAUCCCAGCCCUGCCCACCCUGCCAGGGAACAAUUCUGUGAUCUGACCUAACUCCGUUCGCUGAAGGGAAUUGGGGAUUUUCGAAUUUUCAUUCCUUUCCCCUCCUCCUCCCCCAUUUCUCCUCACGCAGUUGGGCACAGCCAGGGCUAUGUCACCUCCUUGGGUGUCACUGCUGGCCUUGGAGACAUCCCAGCCUCUCCAAAACUCUGAAUUUUGGGGGAAAAUCCCUGUUUUCCCAGCAAAGACCUCAAGUUGUGCCUGACCUGCUCGUUAAAAGAGCCAGGGAGGAGAUCAGGGAUUCUGUUUAGUCAUGGAAAUUAACCCUGAUCCUGAAUAAUUUCUGAUCCCGAAUAAUUGUGAUCCCAAAUAAUUUGUCAUCCCAAAUAAUUUGUGUUCCCAAAUAAUUUGUGAUCCCAAAUAAUUGUGAUCCCAAGGCUCUGUGUGGGUGCACUGCCCUUGCCCUAAUCCCAGAUUUCCCCAGGAUUUGGCAUUUUCCCCUCAAAACUCUUCCAGAUGAGCCCAAGCAGCUGCAUCCAUGCUUUGAGGUGGAUAUUUAUCAAACCCCUUGGGUUUAGAGACCAAAUUUGAAAACAAAUAUUUCUGAGGAGUUUUUUUGUAAAUUCUUGUGUCCCUCCAGUAUCUUCAGCGGCACCAGGCUGCUCCUGCUUCCUUUUCCACCCAGAACUGCCUUUAGAUCUUGCAAAAAAACAUCCAGAUUGUUCAAAAAUCUCCAUAAUUCCAGCUAAUUAAACACAUCCUGGCUUAUUUCCAGGCUGUGAAAUCAGUUGGUCCAAGAGGACAAACAAAUCUGGAUUGUGAGUGGUUUUCAGAGUUUAAACCGUGGUGAAAAUAUUUAAAAAGGAAUAAAAAGGGGGGGGGGGGGGGGGGGGGGGGGGGGGGGGGGCCCCCCCCCCCCCAGAGCAGGGGUGUGACCCAUCCUGGGGUCUGGCAAGGUCGGGGCUCCCAGACAGGAGAACUUUUCAAAGGAGCACACAUGGAUCCCACCUCUUUUUUGGGAUUAAUAUUUCCUGAGUGCUUUUCCUUUCAAGUGGUUCUGUUUGCAGCGGGGGCCUUGUUCGAAUUAAAGAGGCUUCCCGAGCCUUUCAACCCAGCAGGUGUCCAAAGGGGGGGAAAAUUCCCUUUGAAGAGUCCCAGGGUUCCCCAAAAAAAAACAAAAAAAAAAAAAAAAAAAAACGGGGGGGGGGGGGGGGGGGGGGGGGGGGGGGGGGGGGGGGGGGGGGGGGGGGGGGGGGGGGGGGGGGGGGGGGGGGGGGGGGGGGGGGGGGGGGGGGGGGG
rnacentral:lncRNA from 1 species